GUGCCCACUUUGGUAGCACAUGAACUAAAAUUGGAACAAUAAGAGAUUAGCAUGGCCCCUGCACAAGGAUUACCCAGGUGGCAUCCUAACCUAUU
ensembl:snRNA U6 U6 spliceosomal RNA